GGUUAAGUAAUUAAAGGGAUUAUUAGGGAUGCCUAGCAGAUAUGUUGAAAAGGAAGUAUAAUACUAAAAGUAUAGAUACAAUCAGAAUAUUUAUACAAUCCUAAGGUAAACCGAAUAGUAUAGAACGUUGGGAAGUAAAACAUUACAGUACCAAUAGGAAAGGAAAUCAAAAGAGACUCUGGAAGUAAUGGUGAGUGAAACCAGAAUAGCCUAAAUUUUUAGUGACACACAUAGUACUUUGGAAUAAGUAGACUCGUACGUAUAAAAUAAUAAUUAUAGGUAUCGACCCAUAGAAGGUGAAAGUCCUGUAUGUGAUGAAACUAGAAAAGUAAUUAAGUAAUAUGAGGACGUCAGCCUUGUAU
rnacentral:ncRNA from 1 species